rnacentral:rRNA from 1 species
GAUGAACGCUGACAGAAUGCUUAACACAUGCAAGUCAACUUGAACUUCGGUUUGGGUGGCGGACGGGUGAGUAACGCGUACAGAACUUGCCUCACAGCUAGGGACAACAUUUGGAAACGAAUGCUAAUACCUGAUAUUAUGAUUAUAUGGCAUCGUAUAAUUAUGAAAGCUAUAUGCGCUGUGAGAGAGCUUUGCGUCUCAUUAGCUAGUUGGAGAGGUAACAGCUCACCAAGGCGAUGAUGGGUAGCCGGCCUGGGAGGGUGAUCGGCCACAAGGGGACUGGGAAACCGCCCUUACUGCUACGGGAGGCAGCGGUGGGAACUAGAGGACAAUGGACCGAGAGUCUGAUGCAGCAAUUCUGUGUGCACAAUGAAGUUUUUCGGAAUGUAAAGUACUUUCAGUUGGGAAGAAAAAAAUGACGGUACCAACAGAAGAAGCAACGGCUAACUACGUG